rnacentral:lncRNA from 1 species
GGUCCUUCUAAAGGGAAACUUCCUGACACAGGCACCCGGGGAGCGCCAGUAAUCGCCCCUUCCUCCUCCCCCCAGAAAGCAGAGAUCCAGAGGUAAGCCUCAAAGGGGUCCCAAGCAGAAACCUCUCCAGGAGAGUUUCCUGUCGCUCAUCUCCACCCCGUGGUGUGAGCCUUUUAGUAAGCGACACUCGAGAGGCUGCCAGAGGCCGCCGCCACAGAGUACCCCUGAAGGGCACCCCUCAGAAUCUCAGAGGCAAUCACAGGACAACCAAAGUGAAUCCGAGACAGAGGCCGCGCUGAGCCCUGCCUCCCAGCUCCAUACCUCCCGGGUCCCCGCAGCACUCCCGCUGAGGUGCCCCCCGGAGUGGGCCGGACCAUGGGAGGGGCAGCUCGACCGUAAAGACGGCCCUCUUCCUCUGGGUGGAAGGACUGACCCAGAGGUCCCGCCCCGCAACGGCCAGCCUUCAAGACAACUUCCGGCGGCGUAAAGUGAGCGCGGAUCGCACAGCGCCCCCAGAGGCCGGCGGGGAAAUACCCACCAGAACUUGUGUCUGGUUAUUAAGCCGAUGUUCCAGGCUCUGACACUAAAAUGUUCUCUCUCUAAAAGACAGUGACCAGUGACGUUUCGUUCUAUCAUCUAUGCGACAAGUUUUCUUUUUCUUUUCUUGGCUAUGCUAUGCUAUGAAUGGAACCCAGGAUCGUGCACAUACUAGGCAAAUGCUCUUUGAGCCUCAAUUUUUUUCUUUUGAUUUUCAAGACAGGGUUCCUCUGUGUAGCUUUGGCUGGCCUUGAAAUCACUCUGUAGACCAUGAUGGCUUUGAACUCACAGAGAUCCACCUGCCUCUGCCUCCCGAGCGCUGAGAUUAAAGGCACAUGCCACCACGCUCAACUAACCAUGCAAUUUUUUUGAACUUAGAAUGGAGGCUCACAUUUGAAUCCCAGCACUUGGGAGGGUGAAGUAGGGAGAUUUUCUGAAGACAACAUAGUCUAUACAGAGACCCUGUCUCAAAAACAAACAGACAAAGAAACCAAACACCCCAGCACCUACUUUGUCUUGUUUGUGCCUUAAGUAGGGCCAUAUACAAAGGAAAAGCUACAAGUUAGAAUGAUUGAACCAUAAAUUCAUUGUCUAGAAUAAUUAGCCAGCCAAAGUAACAAUUAAAACCAACCAUGAUGAAUGCUGUUAUUGAAGUGGGGUGCUAUGGGCAUGGCAGAGGGGCAUUUAACUUAGAGGUGACAGGUACCAAAGAGGAGGGAGGAAAGGGGGGUGUCUGUGUUCAUGUUUGAAGGGCCGAAUAGCACAGAGAUUUCUGAAGCAGAGGAAAUACAAGAACCAUGACAUUUCUUGUAUCAGUCUGGGUUCUCUAGAGUCACACAACUUAUGGAAUGUCUCUAUAAAUUAAGGUGAUUUACUGUAAUUACUUACAGUCUGUAUUCUAACUAACCCAAUAGUGGGCAGCUGUGAAUGAGAAGUUCAAGAAUCUAGUAGUUCUCUCAGUCCCACGAGGCUCGUUGUUUCAGCUGGUCUUCUGCCUAAGCUGGAAUCCUGAAGUAGUAGGUUCCAACAGAUGUGCUGGCAAGUAAGUGCAAGCAAGCAAAGAAGAGUGAAUCGCUCUUCUUCCAACGUCCUUAUGAAGGCCUCUAGCAGAAGGUGUGUCCCAGAUUAAAGGUGUGUGCCACCAGGUCUGGAUCUGGAACUUGCUUUGUUGCAGGCUGACCUUACACUGAGAUCUGCUUGCCUCCAUCUCCUGGGAUUAAAUGCAUGUAACUACCUUACCUGGGUUUAAGCUUUUCCUGGUCACUAUUCCUCAAGAUCUCCAUGUCAAGAUCCAGGUUAGAAACCUGUGUUCCAACCUCAAGAUCUGGAUCACAGGUGUGCCCUGCAUUUCUGGAUUGUAGUUCAUUCCAGAUUCGGUCAGGUUGACAAGCAGGGCUAGCUAUUACACAGAGGAAAUACAACAAGGUUCAUGACAGUUUUGGAGCCAGGAAUCCCUAGGGGCUCAGUAUUGAUUGCAGAGACUAGCCAAAUAAUGAAGAUGUGUGGGAGGCCAGGGACCAAACACCACAAUAGCACGCCAUUGGUAAGUUUAUUACAGGGAAAUGACACACUCCAUCCACUUUUGCAAGAAAGGUCAUUCUCUCGGAAGAGCCAAGGCUUGGCAAAGAUGAAACUGAGGAUCAGUUAGGAGACUAUUUGCAGUCUCUAAGUUUAUUGUUUAAGAGUUUGGGAUGAAAAGACUUGGGGGAUGUGUGGUGUGGGGACAAAAAGCAUUGAUGACAAGGUUUCAAGCUAAGGGCAGUGGGUCUGUGUGAUUUACCCCAGGUUUCAUGUUGAACAGAUGAACAGAAGAAAUCUAACAUAAGAAAUUCAGGAAGGAAGAAAAAAAUUGUUUCCCCCCCCCCCGUUGUUGAAAAAUGGGUGAAAAAUUAAAUUCGUUAAUUAAGGCAGUGGUUC